UACGGGGGGAGCAAGCGUUGUUCGGAAUUACUGGGCGUAAAGCGCACGUAGGUGGUUUGUUAAGCCAGCUGUGAAAUCCCCGGGCUCAACCUGGGCACUGCAGUUGGAACUGGCAAGCUAGAGUAGGGUAGAGGGGUGUGGAAUUCCAGGUGUAGCGGUGAAAUGCGUAGAUAUCUGGAGGAACAUCAGUGGCGAAGGCGACACCCUGGACUCAUACUGACACUGAGGUGCGAAAGCGUGGGGAGCAAACAGG
rnacentral:rRNA from 1 species